CUCUCUCGGUUUGUCUGGGUCAUCUUGUCUGCCCGCCGCUGGCCUGGCCCCGUCUGUCUCUCUCAGCAGCUGUCUUUCUCGCGCCCACUGGCCGGUCUCUCCUCUUCCCCGCAGUUGCCUCCUUCUCUGCCUGCCUGGGUGGCCGCCAUGGGCCGGAAGCGGCUCAUCACUGAUUCCUACCCGGUUGUGAAGAGGAGGGAGGGGCCCGCUGGGCACAGCAAGGGGGAGCUGGCACCCGAGCUAGGUCUCUGAGGGGAGGAGCCCCAGCCCCGCGACGAGGAGGAAGCGGAGCUGGAGCUGCUGAGGCAGUUUGACCUGGCCUGGCAGUACGGGCCCUGCACCGGGAUCACACGGCUGCAGCGCUGGUGUCGGGCCAAGCAGAUGGGCUUGGAGCCUCCCCCAGAGGUGUGGCAGGUGCUGAAGACCCACCCCGGAGACCCCCGCUUCCAGUGCAGUCUCUGGCAUCUCUAUCCCCUAUGAGGCACCACGUAAGACCUCCUGCCCUUAGCUCUCUUGCUCACCACCCAAGAACCUCAGGACAGAAGCGAGAGCCCAUUGCUCCUGCUCAGCUCAGCCCGGCUGCGGAGGAACCCUUGGCAGGCAGAACCUGGAGGUGUCAGAGGCUCAACUCCUCCAUCUAACCAGCAGGCUCCCAGAGUCCCCGGAAGAGCCUGCGCAGCUGAAGCAGAGUGCUUCUAGAUGGAGAGUGGUCACUGGGGAAAAGGACCUGGCCAUCACCUUCCAAUACCUGCUGCCUGUCUCCCUGACCCAUGAUCUGGCAAGUUAGGCACAGUCAGACAUGGACAGUUGAUCCAUGAGGAAAAGAUGCUCUCCCACCUAAGGCCAGGAAUCUGAGAGCAGGACUGGCUGAGCUCCCAGGGCAAGGGGUUCACUAAUGCUUAUCAAUAAAGAAUAUUGAGCCUGGAAUCCUGACCUUCAGUCCUUUACUGUGGCCCUGCUUUGACUGGCAGUCCCUAGCAAGUUAGGAGAUGAGAGAGGCACCACUACAGCUCUUUUCCUUCAAGAAAGUCCUAGGCCGAAGAGGGAGGAGACAGUCAUCUUGAGACGGAUCAAGUCCUCGGAAGAGCUGAGCGACCUCUGGUGCCCCCUGGUGGCCCACAGGGAAACUACUCAUGACUCACCUUCUGGAGCAGCCAGGGAAAACCUACCUGACUAGCCAGCCACCUGCCUUGCUAAGCGGUGCCCACCUCACAAACAUGGGUGCUUUGCCAGAGAAGGACCCCUGGGGUCCAUAGCUCAUGAAGUCCAAACAUAUCUAUACAUUCCCAGCAAGCACCUCUGGCUUCCCACAUCGGGGGCCACCUUGAUCCAAAGCAGGGCUGGCGAGGGUCUCAACUUGCAGGACCUGCUCAGACAUGACCAUCAUCUGAGGGGCUUUGGUAAGAAACUGAUGGCUGGGCGCGGUGGCUCACACCUGUAAUCCCAGCACUUUGGGAGGCCAAGGAGGGCGGAUCACGAGGUCAAGAGAUCGAGACCAUCCUGGCUAACAUGGUGAAACCCCAUCUCUACUAAAAAUACAAAAAAUUAGCCAGGUGUAGUCCCAGCUACUCAGGAGGCUGAGGCAGGAGAAUGGCGUGAACCCGGGAGGCAGAGCUGGCAGUGAGCUGAGACCGCAUCACUGCACUCCAGCCUGGGUGACAGAGAGAGACCCCGUCUCAAAAAAUAAAAAAAUACAAAAUAAA